CUUAACACAUGCAAGUCGAGCGGUACACAGGGGAGCUUGCUCCCUGGGUGACGAGCGGCGGACGGGUGAGUAAUGUCUGGGAAACUGCCUGAUGGAGGGGGAUAACUACUGGAAACGGUAGCUAAUACCGCAUAACGUCGCAAGACCAAAGAGGGGGACCUUCGGGCCUCUUGCUAUCAGAUGUGCCCAGAUGGGAUUAGCUAGUAGGUGGGGUAAUGGCUCACCUAGGCGACGAUCCCUAGCUGGUCUGAGAGGAUGACCAGCCACACUGGAACUGAGACACGGUCCAGACUCCUACGGGAGGCAGCAGUGGGGAAUAUUGCACAAUGGGCGCAAGCCUGAUGCAGCCAUGCCGCGUGUGUGAAGAAGGCCUUCGGGUUGUAAAGCACUUUCAGCGAGGAGGAAGGUGGUGAACUUAAUACGUUCAUCAAUUGACGUUACUCGCAGAAGAAGCACCGGCUAACUCCGUGCCAGCAGCCGCGGUAAUACGGAGGGUGCAAGCGUUAAUCGGAAUUACUGGGCGUAAAGCGCACGCAGGCGGUUUGUUAAGUCAGAUGUGAAAUCCCCGGGCUCAACCUGGGAACUGCAUUUGAAACUGGCAAGCUAGAGUCUCGUAGAGGGGGGUAGAAUUCCAGGUGUAGCGGUGAAAUGCGUAGAGAUCUGGAGGAAUACCGGUGGCGAAGCGGCCCGUGGACGAAGACUGACGCUCAGGUGCGAAAGCGUGGGGAGCAAACAGGAUUAGAU
rnacentral:rRNA from 1 species